rnacentral:rRNA from 1 species
AUUGAACGCUGGCGGCAUGCCUUACACAUGCAAGUCGAACGGCAGCGGACCUUCGGGUGCCGGCGAGUGGCGAACGGGUGAGUAAUGCAUCGGAACGUGCCAUUGAGUGGGGGAUAACGUAGCGAAAGUUGCGCUAAUACCGCAUAUUCUGUGCGCAGGAAAGCAGGGGACCGCAAGGCCUUGCGCUCUUUGAGCGGCCGAUGUCAGAUUAGCUAGUUGGUGAGGUAACGGCUUACCAAGGCGACGAUCUGUAGCGGGUCUGAGAGGAUGAUCCGCCACACUGGAACUGAGACACGGUCCAGACUCCUACGGGAGGCAGCAGUGGGGGAAUUUUGGACAAUGGGGGGCAACCCCUAGAUCCAGCCAUGCCGCGUGAGUGAAGAAGGCC